rnacentral:rRNA from 1 species
GGUUCAUUCAAAUUUCUGCCCUAUAAACUUUCGACGGCUGGGUCUUGGCCAGCCGUGGUGACAACGGGUAACGGAGGGUUAGGGCUCGACCCCGGAGAAGGAGCCUGAGAAACGGCUACUACAUCCAAGNAAGGCAGCAGGCGCGCAAAUUACCCAAUCCCGACCGGGGAGGUAGUGACAAUAAAUACUGAUACAGGGCUCUUUUGGGUCUUGUAAUUGGAAUGAGUACAAUUUAAAUCCCUUAACGAGGAACCAUUGGAGGGCAAGUCUGGUGCCAGCAGCCGCGGUAAUUCCAGCUCCAAUAGCGUAUAUUAAAGUUGUAGAGGUUAAAAAGCUCGAAGUUG